AUCUUUGUAGUGCAAUGGGUCAGUGUGUCUGGCUGUUAACCAGAAGGUUGGUGAUUAGAGCCCACCCAGGGAUG